rnacentral:rRNA from 1 species
CCUACGGGAGGCAGCAGUGAGGAAUAUUGGUCAAUGGACGAGAGUCUGAACCAGCCAAGUAGCGUGAAGGAUGACUGCCCUAUGGGUUGUAAACUUUUUUUACAUGGGAAUAAAAUGUUCCACGUGUGGGAUUUUGUAUGUACCAUAUCAAUAAGGCACGGCUAACUCCGUGCCAGCAGCCGCGGUAAUACGGAGGAUCUGAGCGUUAUCCGGAUUUAUUGGGUUUAAAGGGAGCGUAGGUGGAUUGUUAAGUCAGUUGUGAAAGUUUGCGGCUCAACCGUAAAAUUGCAGUUGAAACUGGCAGUCUUGAGUACAGUAGAGGUGGGCGGAAUUCGGGGUGUAGCGGUGAAAUGCGUAGAUAUCAGGAGGAACUCCGGUGGCGAAGGCAGUUCACUGGACUGCAACUGACACUGAGGCGCGAAAGUGUGGGUAUCAAACAGGAUUAGAUACCCUUGUAGUC